AGAGUUUGAUCCUGGCUCAGGAUGAACGCUGGCGGCGUGCCUAAUACAUGCAAGUCGAGCGAGAAAUUCACUAUUGACGCUUCGGUUGAUUUAGUAAAUGGAAAGCGGCGGACGGGUGAGUAACGCGUAGGCAACCUGCCCUUAGCAGAGGGAUAGCCAUUGGAAACGAUGAUUAAAACCUCAUAACAUCGUAGUACCACAUGGUACAUCGGUCAAAGAUUUAUCGGCUAAGGAUGGGCCUGCGUCUGAUUAACUAGUUGGUGAGGUAACGGCCCACCAAGGUGACGAUCAGUAGCCGACCUGAGAGGGUGAUCGGCCACAUUGGAACUGAGACACGGUCCAAACUUCUACGGAAGGCAGCAGUAAGGAAUCUUGCACAAUGGGGGAAACCCUGACGCAGCAACGCCGCGUGAGUGAUGAAGGCCUUCGGGUUGUAAAACUCUGAUCUAAGGGAAGAAACAAAUGACGGUACCUUAGGAGAAAGCCCCGGCUAACUACGUGCCAGCAGCCGCGGUAAUACGUAGGGGGCAAGCGUUAUCCGGAAUUAUUGGGCGUAAAGAGUGCGUAGGUGGUUACCUAAGCGCAAGGUUUAAUCUUGAGGCUUAACCUCAUUCUGCCUUGCGAACUGGGCUACUUGAGUGCAGGAGGGGAAAGCGGAAUUCCUAGUGUAGCGGUGAAAUGCGUAGAUAUUAGGAAGAACACCGGUGGCGAAGGCGGCUUUCUGGACUGUAACUGACACUGAGGCACGAAAGCGUGGGGAGCAAACAAAAUUAGAUACCCUGGUAGUCCACGCCGUAAACGAUCAGCAAGAGUUGUUGGGUCCCAAUGGGAUUCAAUGACGCAAGUAACGCAAUAAG
rnacentral:rRNA from 1 species